rnacentral:rRNA from 1 species
GACGAACGCUGGCGGCGUGCUUAACACAUGCAAGUCGAACGAUGAACCGGAGCUUGCUCUGGGGAUUAGUGGCGAACGGGUGAGUAACACGUGGGCAACCUGCCCCAGACACCGGGAUAACCAUUCGAAAGGAUGGCUAAUACCGGAUACGACCACUUCGGGCAUCCGACGGUGGUGGAAAGGAUUCUGGUCUGGGAUGGGCCCGCGGCCUAUCAGCUUGUUGGUGGGGUAAUGGCCUACCAAGGCGACGACGGGUAGCCGGCCUGAGAGGGCGACCGGCCACACUGGGACUGAGACACGGCCCAGACUCCUACGGGAGGCAGCAGUGGGGAAUAUUGCGCAAUGGGCGAAAGCCUGACGCAGCGACGCCGCGUGAGGGACGAAGGUCUUCGGAUUGUAAACCUCUUUCAGCAGGGAUGAAGCGAAAGUGACAGUACCUGCAGAAGAAGCACCGGCUAACUACGUGCCAGCCGCCGCGGUAAAAC